AUUUCUUAUAGCUAAAAAUGUUAUAUGUUGGUGUAUUUACGUUUAAAAACUAUAAAAUAAAGGUUCAAAUUAAGAACUAUCAAGGCACAUCGUGUAUUAACACUUGCAUUUUAUAAACAAGUAUCAACAUCAUAUAAAUUGCAUGUACACUAUAUAUUCGUGAUGUCAACAAUCUAAUGUAAGUGUUCCGGACCAUAUGAGUAUUUGGACCAUACGAGUAUGGUCAUGACCUAUGGGUAUAUACUUAUAUGGUCCGACCGUACGCGUACGAUCUGGUUAAUUAACACGAUUACGUUUAAUACUGGUAAACUCUUCAAAAGGUAUGACCAUUCUAGUUGUCACAUCAUUAAAAGACGAUAUAUCAAAUGUCAUUUUAUUAUAUAUUCUAUUUUAUUGUAUAGCAAUAUAAUAUUUCCCACAGAAAGUAACCAAAAGUUAGCGUG
rnacentral:lncRNA from 1 species